rnacentral:rRNA from 1 species
GACGAACGCUGGCGGCGUGCUUAACACAUGCAAGUCGAACGAUGAAGCCUAGCUUGCUCGGUGGAUUAGUGGCGAACGGGUGAGUAAUACGUGAGUGACCUACCUUUGACUCUGGGAUAAGCCUGGGAAACUGGGUCUAAUACCGGAUACGACCAAUCUCCGCAUGGGGUGUUGGUGGAAAGCGUUAUGGGGUGGUUUUAGAUGGGCUCACGGCCUAUCAGCUUGUUGGUGAGGUAAUGGCUUACCAAGGCGACGACGGGUAGCCGGCCUGAGAGGGUGACCGGCCACACUGGGACUGAGACACGGCCCAGACUCCUACGGGAGGCAGCAGUGGGGAAUAUUGCACAAUGGGCGCAAGCCUGAUGCAGCGACGCCGCGUGAGGGAUGACGGCCUUCGGGUUGUAAACCUCUGUUAGCAUCGAAGAAGCGAAAGUGACGGUAGGUGCAGAGAAAGCGCCGGCUAACUACGUGC